AGAGUUUGAUCAUGGCUCAGAUUGAACGCUGGCGGCAGGCCUAACACAUGCAAGUCGAGCGGUAGCACAGAGAGCUUGCUCUCGGGUGACGAGCGGCGGACGGGUGAGUAAUGUCUGGGAAACUGCCUGAUGGAGGGGGAUAACUACUGGAAACGGUAGCUAAUACCGCAUAACGUCGCAAGACCAAAGUGGGGGACCUUCGGGCCUCAUGCCAUCAGAUGUGCCCAGAUGGGAUUAGCUAGUAGGUGGGGUAAUGGCUCACCUAGGCGACGAUCCCUAGCUGGUCUGAGAGGAUGACCAGCCACACUGGAACUGAGACACGGUCCAGACUCCUACGGGAGGCAGCAGUGGGGAAUAUUGCACAAUGGGCGCAAGCCUGAUGCAGCCAUGCCGCGUGUGUGAAGAAGGCCUUCGGGUUGUAAAGCACUUUCAGCGGGGAGGAAGGCGUUAAGGUUAAUAACCUUGGCGAUUGACGUUACCCGCAGAAGAAGCACCGGCUAACUCCGUGCCAGCAGCCGCGGUAAUACGGAGGGUGCAAGCGUUAAUCGGAAUUACUGGGCGUAAAGCGCACGCAGGCGGUCUGUCAAGUCGGAUGUGAAAUCCCCGGGCUCAACCUGGGAACUGCAUUCGAAACUGGCAGGCUAGAGUCUUGUAGAGGGGGGUAGAAUUCCAGGUGUAGCGGUGAAAUGCGUAGAGAUCUGGAGGAAUACCGGUGGCGAAGGCGGCCCCCUGGACAAAGACUGACGCUCAGGUGCGAAAGCGUGGGGAGCAAACAGGAUUAGAUACCCUGGUAGUCCACGCCGUAAACGAUGUCGAUUUGGAGGUUGUGCCCUUGAGGCGUGGCUUCCGGAGCUAACGCGUUAAAUCGACCGCCUGGGGAGUACGGCCGCAAGGUUAAAACUCAAAUGAAUUGACGGGGGCCCGCACAAGCGGUGGAGCAUGUGGUUUAAUUCGAUGCAACGCGAAGAACCUUACCUGGUCUUGACAUCCACAGAACUUUCCAGAGAUGGAUUGGUGCCUUCGGGAACUGUGAGACAGGUGCUGCAUGGCUGUCGUCAGCUCGUGUUGUGAAAUGUUGGGUUAAGUCCCGCAACGAGCGCAACCCUUAUCCUUUGUUGCCAGCGGUUCGGCCGGGAACUCAAAGGAGACUGCCAGUGAUAAACUGGAGGAAGGUGGGGAUGACGUCAAGUCAUCAUGGCCCUUACGACCAGGGCUACACACGUGCUACAAUGGCAUAUACAAAGAGAAGCGACCUCGCGAGAGCAAGCGGACCUCAUAAAGUAUGUCGUAGUCCGGAUUGGAGUCUGCAACUCGACUCCAUGAAGUCGGAAUCGCUAGUAAUCGUAGAUCAGAAUGCUACGGUGAAUACGUUCCCGGGCCUUGUACACACCGCCCGUCACACCAUGGGAGUGGGUUGCAAAAGAAGUAGGUAGCUUAACCUUCGGGAGGGCGCUUACCACUUUGUGAUUCAUGACUGGGGUGAAGUCGUAACAAGGUAACCGUAGGGGAACCUGCGGUUGGAUCACCU
rnacentral:rRNA from 3 species